CGCUCGCGGCGGGGCCGCCUUAAGUGUCCGCCGCUCAUUUGCCCCCAAUUCGGGGGU
rnacentral:antisense_RNA from 1 species